rnacentral:rRNA from 1 species
AUUGAACGCUGGCGGCAUGCCUUACACAUGCAAGUCGAACGGCAGCACGGGAGCAAUCCUGGUGGCGAGUGGCGAACGGGUGAGUAAUAUAUCGGAACGUGCCCAGUCGUGGGGAUAACGUAGCGAAAGCUACGCUAAUACCGCAUACGAUCUAUGGAUGAAAGCGGGGGAUCGCAAGACCUCGCGCGAUUGGAGCGGCCGAUAUCAGAUUAGGUAGUUGGUGAGGUAAAGGCUCACCAAGCCGACGAUCUGUAGCUGGUCUGAGAGGACGACCAGCCACACUGGGACUGAGACACGGCCCAGACUCCUACGGGGGGCAGCAGUGGGGAAUUUUGGACAAUGGGCGCAAGCCUGAUCCAGCAAUGCCGCGUGCAGGAUGAAGGCCU